UACGAAGGGGGCUAGCGUUGCUCGGAAUUACUGGGCGUAAAGGGCGCGUAGGCGGCACUGUUAGUCAGGCGUGAAAGUCCUGGGCUCAACCUGGGAACUGCGCUUGAUACGGCAGAGCUAGGGGAUGGAAGAGGGUCGCGGAAUUCCCAGUGUAGAGGUGAAAUUCGUAGAUAUUGGGAAGAACACCGGUGGCGAAGGCGGCGACCUGGUCCAUUACUGACGCUGAGGCGCGACAGCGUGGGGAGCAAACAGG
rnacentral:rRNA from 1 species